UCGAACAGCUACAGCUACAAUG
rnacentral:miRNA from 1 species